AGAGCACCAGGCUGGGCUUCCUGUGUUAUACGGCAACUUCUCAUUUGCUAUCUGUUUUACAUAUGAUACUGCUGACGCUACUGGUUGCACACCACUUCUUGAGUAGCAAUGUGGAGAUGUGGGUUCAAUCCCUGGGUCAGGAAGAUCCCCUAAAGGAGGAAAUGGCCACCCACUCCAGUAUUCUUGCCUGAAAAUCCCAUGGACAGAGGAGCCUGGUGGGCUACAGUCCAUGAGGUCGCAAAAGAGUCAGACAUGACUGAGUGACUAAAAAACGAUAGAAAACCAAGAGCAAUAGCUACAGUACUGUACCCGGAGGAAACAGCAGUGAACCAGCAGAACCACAGUUUCUGCCUUCAUGAAGCUUACAACUCAGCAGGGAGACUGACGUCAAAGAAACACAGGCAGAGGCCAUUGUUUGUGGAUUCUGUGUUUGCUGCUAAGUCACUUCAGUUGUGUCCGACUUUGUGCGACCCCAUAGACAGCAGCCCACCAGGCUCCCCCGUCCCUGGGAUUCUCCAG
ensembl:lncRNA